rnacentral:rRNA from 1 species
GACGAACGCUGGCGGCGUGCUUAACACAUGCAAGUCGAACGGGCCUGUCUUCUUUUUUGGGGGGUGGGUUGAGUGGCGAACGGGUGAGUAUCACGUGAGUAACCUGCCCUUCGGUCCUGGAUAACCGCUUGAAAGGGCGGCUAAUACGGGGUGGUCCGGUUGGUCCGCAUGGGCUGGUCGGGAUAGAUUCACUGUUUUUGGUGAUUCGGCGGGGGAUGGGCUCGCGGCCUAUCAGCUUGUUGGUGGGGUGAUGGCCUACCAAGGCGGUGACGGGUAGCCGGCCUGAGAGGGUGGGCGGCCACACUGGGACUGAGAUACGGCCCAGACUCCUGCGGGAGGCAGCAGUGGGGGGUAUUGCACAAUGGGCGGAAGCCUGAUGCAGCGACGUCGCGUGAGGGAUGGAGGCCUUCGGGUUGUGAACCUCUGUUUCCGGUGGUGAAGGCCCUGUCCGUGUGGUGGGGUUGACGGUAGCCGGGGAUGAAGCGCCGGCUAACUACGUG